GGGGGGGGGGGGGGGGGGGGGGGGGGGGGGGGGGGGGGGGGGGCGGAUGGGGGGCGUGCUCCUGGGGCGGGAGCGGCGGACGGGGGAGGACCACGGGGAUGACCGACCGAGCAGACUUGGAUAACGGCGGGGAACCGGAGCUAAUGCCGGAUACUAUAUUGAACCGCAUGGUUCAAUAGUGAAAGACGGGUUUUCUUUCACUUAGAGAUGGAUCCGCGCCGCAUUCGCUAGUUGGUAAGGUAACGGCUUACCAAGGCAACGAUGCGUAGCCGACCUGAGAGGGUGAUCGGCCACACUGGAACUGAGACACUGUCCAGACUCCUACGGGAGGCAGCAGUAGGGAAUCUUCCGCAAUGGGCGAAAGCCUGACGGAGCAACGCCGCGUGAGUGAUGAAGGUCUUCGGAUCGUAAAACUCUGUUAUUAGGGAAGAACAAAUGUGUAAGUAACUAUGCACGUCUUGACGGUACCUAAUCAGAAAGCCACGGCUAACUACGUG
rnacentral:rRNA from 1 species